rnacentral:lncRNA from 1 species
CCCAGCGGAAGUGCGUGCAGUGACUUCCGCCGGCUGGGCUCUCUAUCCUGGUCCGGACGCUUGGAGGACCUUGGGGUUUCUUGGGGAACCUCGGACUCGUUAGCAGACCUUCAUGUGGCCGGCCUUUGCCUCCUGAGGUGCUUAUGGCUAGGCUGCUAGAGGCUCCCCGGAUUCUGUGGCUUAUUGUCUCCUGCUUCACCUCUGAACUGUAUUUCUGUUUUCAUCACAUUUCCUCUCCAGUGCCCCUCUCUGCCACCAUUAUGAACCCUUGUGAGCGCAUUGGGCCUACCUGGAUAUUUCAGGCACCUCUGCUAUUAGGGUCAGCUGAUUAGCACUGUGUUUUGUGUUUGGUUUCUUGUUUUGUUCUGAGGGAGGAUCUCACUAUGUAGUUAAGGCUGUUGGCCUUGAAGUCACUAUGUAGCUCAGGC